AGAGUCACCCACGGUGGAAGCCAGCCAGCAGAAAGAACCCACUUCUCUCCACUUCCUCCUCCUCCAGAACUCAGAUUGAGAGAUAGCUCCUGUAAAUAGACCUUUUCCUGCCCGUUUUGGGGGACUGUGAGUGAUAAAUAGAAGAUAUUUCCUCUACACAGGGUGGAGUGACAAUUAUGGUUCCUCUAUCUGAACUGAAGACUACUGAGGGGUCAAAAGGAGGUUGUUCUUUUGUCCAAUGCCUUAUGUCUGUGCACUGGACUGGAGUUAGAUAUUCAACUUCCAUGCUUACUACAGCCAGGUGGUUAGUCAUGUGUUUCAUUAACUGUAAGUUUACGUCACGAUCAUAACAUUCGGCAAUACAAAACAACACCCUUGUUGUAAGUUUGUAGAGCACUAGUCUAGCGGCCCACUCAAGGUUGCUAGCCUAGUACACAAGAGACUUACUUUAGCCAAUAAGCUCAACUGUACCUACAAAACUGAUAAGAGACUGUAAAAUACCUUGUUAAUCGCAACGGCAAGCUUCCAGUCUUAGGUACAGCAUUUAUAGGGAUAACCCAGGACCUCACCAUUACAAACAGGUGUCGUAGUGUUAAUAUUAAGUAUCAUUGUGGAUAUAGUUCUAAUAAAGUAAACAUGAGUCACAUUGAAGCAUGGACAUGACUGCAUACUGAGUACAGGACAUUGGCAGCUGUGGUUUUCCCAUCACGUGGUCUAGGGGUUUUCUACAUGUCAUAGCCACAUGGCUCAGUAUAUAAUUAACUCACCGACUUAUUCCAGCAAUGAUUGAUACAAUUCAAAGACCAAUUCCAGAUAUGAGCCUUUUUCAACCUUCCACUGAUGUCUCCCUGCUUUGAAGACUUAUCGAGUCUCAAAACAAAUCAUUUCAGUUCCUACUCCAUAUUCUUCUUUACAAAAUGUUGGCGUCCAUUCCUGUAGCCUCCCAGCUGGAUGUUUUGCCUUUAGGCAAAGUACCUUAAUGACUUAUUAAUGUAAUAACAACCUGACCUGAACUGAUCCUGAACUACUGAGGUCCACAACCUGGCUCACCCACCCAGACUGGCACCCCUCCAGCUUCACCUGCAGAUCGUGCCUGCCCUGCUCCAGCUCCUGUGGGCAAAACAUAACAGAUGGGCACAAUUAAUGUGUGCCAAUGGGGGUCUCUUUGGUCUGUGAUUAGGAGACUGAUACCACUGCUCGAUCAUUUUAAUCCAUGAAAUGAAUAAAUUAGAAAAUCUAAGAGUA